rnacentral:rRNA from 1 species
GACGAACGCUGGCGGCGUGCCUAAUACAUGCAAGUAGAACGCUGAAGAGAGGAGCUUGCUCUUCUUGGAUGAGUUGCGAACGGGUGAGUAACGCGUAGGUAACCUGCCUUGUAGCGGGGGAUAACUACUGGAAACGAUAGCUAAUACCGCAUAACAAUGGAUGACACAUGUCAUUUAUUUGAAAGGGGCAAUUGCUCCACUACAAGAUGGACCUGCGUUGUAUUAGCUAGUAGGUGAGGUAAUGGCUCACCUAGGCGACUAUACAUAGCCGACCUGAGAGGGUGAUCGGGCACAAUGGGACUGAGACACGGCCCAGACUCCUACGGGAGGCAGCAGUAAGGGAUCUACGGCAAUGGGGGCAAGCCUGAACGAGCAAAGCCGCGUGGGUGAAGAAGGUUUUCAGAUCGUAAAGAUCUGUUGUAAGUGGAGAACGGGUGUGAGAGUGGAAAGUUCACACUGUGACGGUAGCUUACCAGAAAGGGACGGCUAACUACGUG